rnacentral:rRNA from 1 species
AGUAGGUAGCUUAACCUUCGGGAGGGCGCUUACCACUUUGUGAUUCAUGACUGGGGUGAAGUCGUAACAAGGUAACCGUAGGGGAACCUGCGGUUGGAUCACCUCCUUACCAAAAAAGAUGUGUGUUGAGUGAAGUGCUCACACAGAUUGUCUGAUGAA